rnacentral:rRNA from 1 species
UACGAACCGUCCAAACGUUAUUCGGAUUUAUUGGGCUUAAAGGGUAUGUAGGCGGCCCUUCAAGUCGGGUGUGAAAGCCCUCGGCUCAACCGAGGAACUGCGCCCGAUACUGUGGGGGCUUGAGGGAGACAGAGGUAAGCGGAACUGAUGGUGGAGCGGUGAAAUGCGUUGAUAUCAUCAGGAACACCAGUGGCGAAAGCGGCUUACUGGGUCUCUUCUGACGCUGAGAUACGAAAGCUAGGGGAGCGAACGGG